UCCUCCCGGUGAGCUGGGUGCUAUGACAGAUGAGACUUUUAUGCGAGAAAAUAAAUCCUGCACAUUUGAUGUACUGCUUUAGACUCAAAGACCUCUUGGGACCUGGGACUGUAAGAUUCUCAAGGAAAGAAGACAUGAGCCAAACAUUUUGUAUCCAGUGAAACUGACUUUCAAAUGAAAAAAGCACCGGGAGUCUUUAGCUCUUUCUGAAGAAUCUACUAGAGACUGAGCUUCAGGUAACCUAAUGACCAGAGAGACAUCAACAGAAGAACUGAAUUCUAUAAAU